rnacentral:misc_RNA from 1 species
GAACGCACAUUGCGCCUCCUGGUAUUCCGGGAGGCACGCCUGUCCGAGCGCCAUUACACCCCCCAAGCCUUGCUUGAUGUUGGGCCAUGACGCGCUGUCAAGCCCCAAACCUUUAGGCGCCCCCUACUGGCCGCGAGCGUAGCAAGAAUUUAUUUCCCUCGUUCCGCGUGUCCAUUGGGUGGGUCGCCAAUUGACCCCUAAAUUUUACAAGGUUUGGCCUCGGAUCAGGCGGGGAUACCCGCUGAACUUAAG